rnacentral:rRNA from 1 species
AGUGAACGCUGGCGGUAGGCCUAACACAUGCAAGUCGAACGGCAGCACAGUAAGAGCUUGCUCUUACGGGUGGCGAGUGGCGGACGGGUGAGGAAUACAUCGGAAUCUACUUUUUCGUGGGGGAUAACGUAGGGAAACUUACGCUAAUACCGCAUACGACCUACGGGUGAAAGCAGUGGAUCUUCGGACCUUGCGCGAUUGAAUGAGCCGAUGUCGGAUUAGCUAGUUGGCGGGGUAAAGGCCCACCAAGGCGACGAUCCGUAGCUGGUCUGAGAGGAUGAUCAGCCACACUGGAACUGAGACACGGUCCAGACUCCUACGGGAGGCAGCAGUGGGGAAUAUUGGGCAAUGGGCGCAAGCCUGAUCCAGCCAUACCGCGUGGGUGAAGAAGGCCUUCGGGUUGUAAAGCCCUUUUGUUGGGAAAGAAAAGCUGUGGGUUAAUACCCCGCUGUUCUGACGGUACCCAAUGAAUAAGCACCGGCUAACUUCGUG